CCUCCCCAGGCUGGGAGGACUAACAGCGUGAUCCGCCGCCCGGAGGAUUCGCAGCACCUCCCAAGGUUCAGAGUGCACACAGCGCCUCCCGCCUCCCGGAGGACCAGAAGUCCGGGCUGGCGCGGGGGCAAUGGGAGGGUGAAGUUGGUGGUGGUUGGGAGGAGAUUGGAGACAAAAAUGUGGCGGGAGAAGAUGGUGGAUGUAAAGGGGCUGGAAAAGAGUGGGAGGUUGAAAUGGUGGUGGAAGAGGCAGCAAAGUUGAGAAAACAGUUGCGACUCUGAAUUGCGAGAUGUCACUGACCUGUUGAAUCAACACAUCAAUGAAAAUCAUUUUGGACUGCUGAAACAAGAAAAUACUUGAAACCAUUUACAAUUUCCACUCACCUGGAUUUCUAUAGGAAGUAGUUGAACAAUGGUCUUUAAACAAGAAAAGGCCAAAAUUUGCAGCUGAAAUCCUGCUUCAAUCAGACUGAGUUAUGACCCAAUCUGAUCAUGUCUAUGUAAACAAGAUAAAGUAAAAUGUCACUCGUGGAACAAAACAAAAUCAGACAAUAAAAUGCUCAAACCAUUGAGGAAAAGAAAAAUAGGCUGAUACACUGGACAAAUGGAUCUUCAUAGUGGAUUCAAUUCCACCUUUGAACAGCUGGCUUUCUGGAAUAUAAGACAAUCUUUGUAAACGAAAGCUUGAAGUUUGGUCGAGUUACCCAUUGCAGACAUACAUGUCUUAACCCAACCAGUUUAAGUCUAUUUGUCAGCCUGUAACUUAAUGCUCACCAUCUGCAUACAAUUAAGCAAAUCCUUUUUAUAAAACAAAAAUGGGCUUAUGUCAAGACUUGCAUGUUCUUUGCAUAAUUACUUUGUAAUAGGUCCUUCCUGUAGGACCCCUGCUAAUUUAUUUGUUUGACAAAGCAAAGUGCAUGGUAUUGUGAAAGGAGUGUUACUGACUGAGUAGAAAGCAACAGGUUCAUAACAAUAGAAUCUCCAAGUAGUCAGUGCUAGAGAGAAGUUCUGAGAUUUUUAGAUGUUAGAAACUAAAAGGCUUCAUAACCAGAAGGCUUGUGGUGUCAGAAAAAGACAUUUCGACAAGGCUAUUGAAGACAUUAGGUAGUGAACUCAUCUUAAGUGAGCUUCUUGAUGAGAGACAUUAACUGAAGAAAAUAGCAUCUGGUAAAUGCACAGCAAUUUGCCAAAAGGAAACCGAUUAUAGCCUCUUGCUCAGCCGGCAUAUCUGUAUGUGGAGUUAGGGGUUCAUGGAGGUUUGACUUUCUGUAAAAGGUAAUGCUGAGAUAAAAGGGAUGAAAUUUUUCUUCA